CGGUAAUAUUACAUUGCAACACCAGUUCUCGUUCUGUCAUCGAAGUUAAGCAACGUUAAGACCGGUCAGUACUCAAAUGAGUGAACGCUGGGGAAUACCAGGUGCUGUAAG